UGAACUAGAAUAAAAGACAGACACUUGGAAUUGGUUCUUCUAUCUGGUUCAUGUAGCUUCAGGUUUGCACACUUGAAUCACACUCGAAUUGCUUGCAAAAUGCCUUGCUAUUUUGCUCUCAAUUCACGUUUAACUUCUGUUUUUGUGCAUACCUGUAGAAUGAGAACAUCAUGCAAUAUAUAGAGUUAGUAAAUGAAGAAAUAACUAGCGUUCUAAUGCUACUCUUCCUUGGUGGAAGAGUUCUAGUUGAUCUCAACUUCUAACUCCUCCAUUAUCUUGGAUAGUGUUCUCUUUGAUUAAGGAGUCAUUCUCCUUAUUAAUUAUGCAACAUUUUCGAUCAGGAGAUAUCAAUUAUACCAAGUUAAGCUUAUCUCCUUCAAGUACAUCCCACAUGCUCGAAUCUGCCCGUGUCUAUACACACAAGGGAUGAACGUGAUUCAUGCUGAGCUUCCUUUGUCAAUAUUCAAAACAAACCUUCACUUGGGCCAACAAUAAUCGUACCCGUCGUGGUCUCCGUCUAAACACGAUUUUCUCUUCUCGAACCCAAUUAUCUUGAAAAUACUAGACAUUGUAUAUAUCUCUUAGUAAUUGGACUAUAGAAAUCUUGGAAUAGAUAUGAAUAAUGGUUUUUU
rnacentral:lncRNA from 1 species